GACAGCAGCCGCCGCGGGAAAACAGAGGGUGCGAGCGUUAAUCGGAUUUACUGGGCGUAAAGCGUGCGUAGGCGGCUUCUUAAGUCGGAUGUGAAAUCCCUGAGCUUAACUUAGGAAUUGCAUUCGAUACUGGGAAGCUAGAGUAUGGGAGAGGAUGGUAGAAUUCCAGGUGUAGCGGUGAAAUGCGUAGAGAUCUGGAGGAAUACCGAUGGCGAAGGCAGCCAUCUGGCCUAAUACUGACGCUGAGGUACGAAAGCAUGGGGAGCAAACAGGAUUAGAUACCCCUGUAGUCCCUGUCUCUUAUAC
rnacentral:rRNA from 1 species